UCUCCGUUGGUGAACCAGCGGAGGGAUCAUUACCGAGUUUACAACUCCCAAACCCCUGUGAACAUACCUGUUUUGUUGCUUCGGCGGUGCCCUCGCUCUCGCGGCGAGGCCCGCCAGAGGACCCAAACAAACUCUUCGACUUUGAUCUAGGAUUAUACUUCUGAGUGAUACAAAAAAUAAAAUCAAAACUUUCAACAACGGAUCUCUUGGUUCUGGCAUGAUGAAGAACGCAGC
rnacentral:misc_RNA from 1 species